GGCAUGACGCUGCGCAGGCCUAACACAUGCAGUCGAACGGUAACAGGAAGAAGCUUGCUUCUUUGCUGACGAGUGGCGGACGGGUGAGUAAUGUCUGGAAAACUGCCUGAUGGAGGGGGAUAACUACUGGAAACGGUAGCUAAUACCGCAUAACGUCGCAAGACCAAAGAGGGGGACCUUCGGGCCUCUUGCCAUCGGAUGUGCCCAGAUGGGAUUAGCUAGUAGGUGGGGUAACGGCUCACCUAGGCGACGACCCCUAGCUGGUCUGAGAGGAUGACCAGCCACACUGGAACUGAGACACGGUCCAGACUCCUACGGGAGGCAGCAGUGGGGAAUAUUGCACAAUGGGCGCAAGCCUGAUGCAGCCAUGCCGCGUGUAUGAAGAAGGCCUUCGGGUUGUAAAGUACUUUCAGCGGGGAGGAAGGGAGUAAAGUUAAUACCUUUGCUCAUUGACGUUACCCGCAGAAGAAGCACCGGCUAACUCCGUGCCAGCAGCCACGGUAAUACGGAGGGUGCAAGCGUUAAUCGGAAUUACUGGGCGUAAAGCGCACGCAGGCGGUUUGUUAAGUCAGAUGUGAAAUCCCCGGGCUCAACCUGCGAACUGCAUCUGAUACUGGCAAGCUUGAGUCUCGUAGAGGGGGGGUAGAAUUCGACGUGUAGCGGUGAAAUGCGUAUAGAUCUGUAGGAAUACAGGUGGCGAAGGCGCCCAGUGACUGGAGACUGACACUCACGUGCUAAAGCCUGGGGAACAGACGCAAAUAUAUACGUUGGAUCGUCCAAAUGCGUAAAAUCUCGAGUAAACCUGUGCCGAAUGAGCUGCUGCACGAGCACUUGACGCUCAGUGCGAGAGCGUGGAGUGCAGACGGUAUCAUAUACCUUGUAGUCUCGCGGAAGCGAUGU
rnacentral:rRNA from 1 species